rnacentral:rRNA from 1 species
CCUACGGGAGGCAGCAGUGGGGAAUAUUGGACAAUGGGCGCAAGCCUGAUCCAGCCAUGCCGCGUGUGUGAUGAAGGCCUUAGGGUUGUAAAGCACUUUCGCCGAUGAAGAUAAUGACUGUAGUCGGAGAAGAAGCCCCGGCUAACUUCGUGCCAGCAGCCGCGGUAAUACGAAGGGGGCUAGCGUUGUUCGGAAUUACUGGGCGUAAAGCGUACGUAGGCGGAUUGUUAAGUGAGGGGUGAAAUCCCGAGGCUCAACCUCGGAACUGCCUUUCAUACUGGCAAUCUUGAGUCCGGGAGAGGUGAGUGGAACUCCUAGUGUAGAGGUGAAAUUCGUAGAUAUUAGGAAGAACACCAGUGGCGAAGGCGGCUCACUGGCCCGGAACUGACGCUGAGGUACGAAAGCGUGGGGAGCAAACAGGAUUAGAUACCCUGGUAGUCCACGCCGUAAACGAUGGAUGCUAGCCGUCGGGGAGCUGCUCUCGUGGCGCAGCUACGCAUAGACAUCCGCCGUCGGGAGGUACGGUCGCAGAUAAACUUAAAUAGAUAGAGCGNGAGAGNGCGACGACGACGACGAGGAGAGG